CAAAAAGUAGCUUAACAAAAGCGCUCGGCUUACAACCGAAUGAUAUUACAUUUAUCUUUUUGA
rnacentral:tRNA from 2 species